AGACCGAUAGCGAACAAGUAGAGUGAUCGAAAGAUGAAAAGUACUUUGGAAAGAGAGUUAAAAAGCACGUGAAAUUGUUGAAAGGGAAGCGCCUGCAACCAGACUUCGCGGCAGUGUUCCGCCGGUCUUCUGACCGGUUCAUUCUCUGCCGUGAGGCCAUCAUCGUCUGGGCCCGCCGGAUAAGACCUUGGGAAUGUAGCUCACCUCCGGGGGAGUGUUAUAGCCCAGGGUGAUGCGGCGCGGCUCGGGCGAGGUCCGCGCUUCGGCAAGGAUGAUGGCGUAAUGGUUGUCGGCGGCCCGUCUUGAAACACGGACCAAG
rnacentral:rRNA from 1 species